rnacentral:rRNA from 1 species
AAACGAUUCUCAGCAACGGAUAUCUUAGCUCUCAAAUUUAUGAAGAACAUAGCAAAAUGCGAUACUUGGUGUGAAUUGCAGAAUCCCGUGAACUAUCGAGUCUUUAAACGUAAGUUGCGUCCGAAGCUACUAGGCCGAGGGCACGUCUACCUGGGCGUCAUGC